GGUUUUUCUAGUUUAUAACAAGAAAAACAUUAAAUUGCAAGUUUAAAAAAAUCCAUUGGAUGAAAACCU
rnacentral:tRNA from 1 species